rnacentral:rRNA from 1 species
UACGUAGGGUGCAAGCGUUGUCCGGAAUUAUUGGGCGUAAAGAGCUCGUAGGCGGCUAGUCACGUCGGAUGUGAAAACCCGAGGCUCAACCUCGGGCCUGCAUUCGAUACGGGCUGGCUAGAGUACUGCAGAGGAGACUGGAAUUCCUGGUGUAGCGGUGAAAUGCGCAGAUAUCAGGAGGAACACCAAUGGCGAAGGCAGCUCGCUGGGACGUGACUGACGCUGAGACGCGAAAGCGUGGGGAGCAAACAGG